CAGCCAUCAUAUGAAGUAAAAUUUAAGAACAUCUUAAGCCUGGGCUGUUCAAAUUAAACUGAAGACAUGACUUUGUCCUUGAUGGAUGUACCAAAGCAAGUCUUUGAAACUUUUGGACUGAAAUAAGUAGCAGGUACUUGCUAGAACUUUAAGAACAAGUGACCAGGGUGCUGAGCAAGUAGGUGCUAGCCUACUGGGACAUGUCUUAGGCUGUGCAUGCAUCAGUACUUCAGGUGUCUUCUUCAUGACUCAAAACACCGCAAACUUCAGUGCACCUUAAACUACCCUUUGGGCAUGGUGACACACAAUGUUCUGGGCCACCUGGAAACAGAAGCAUUACAAAGCAUCAGCAACCAUCUAUUACAUCUGACAUCAGUGAACUGCAACAAGAAAAGAGCUUAAACUACAGUAUGUGAUGUUUUAAAUAUGGUCCCUGAGCCAAGUUGUUUCCUCCCUAGAACAUGCGUUAGACAUCAGCUCUCGCCCGUCAUUUGCUGGGAUUGAUAAUGUGCCAAGUCUUGAAGUCUUGACUCAGUUCUUACUCCGACAGGACUCCCAUGGAAAUCAAUGGAAGUUUUGCCUGAUAAAAUGCUUCUGGAUUCCUCUCCAAAACAUUUGGCUGUUUUUUUGCAGGCACAUUUGCAAAAAUCCAACAUUUCAGCCCUGUAAAGUAGGAUUAUCAAAAUCUUAACUGAUGGAGGACGUUCCGAGGGCAAAAUACCCGGGGGCCUGCUGCUGGCAGUGGAACACUGCCUAUGUUUGAAAACCAAACCAAAACAAACCCAAGGGCUACAAGACAAUACAUCAUCUAAAAAGCUGCUAGUAGAACAGCAGUUAAACUUAUCUGACAGUAUCCACAUAUGGACAGCAUGAAAUGACAGUGCCUUGUUAUACCGUAAGGUGAUCGAUCAAUGACUUGUGUUAUUCGGAGUCGUUUUGAAACUGAACAAAAGGCUAUGAGACAAGAUUUUUAUUUAUUUAUUUAUUUAUUUUACUUUUGUCCUGCAUGUGGAAAUUAGAAAAACUAAUGUGCAAUUGGUUCAUACAGAAAGAUGUACUGUAGCUUAGCAAGCAUUGCAUUGCAAUCAAUUUCAACAAAUACCACAAAAACACUUCAGGAUGAACAUAAUCACCAGAAAUAAA
rnacentral:lncRNA from 1 species